UGUGGUCCAUUUUAUUUCUGUGGAUAUUUGACAUUCAUUUACAGCAACAGGGACAUACUGUACUUAAACUGCACUUUAUGGUUUUCAGGUUAUGUUCCUUUUCAGAUUUGUACAACAGCGGCACAUAUUUGACUACUGAACACCAUCGAUAACUUUCAAUACAGUGCUCUGUACAGUGGUGUGAAAGCAGGAGAGGCAUGCUAGUUUGUAGCGCCACGCUGGAGAAAAUGUAAGUGCAGUCCAACUGUGCUUCAUUAUUUGUUAAUAACUAUAUUACCUUUGUAAAAUCAGCACCAAUCACAUCGCUUGUAAUGGUAUCGCCAAAAUACAUUCAGAAUAGCACCUUUACAAUUUACGUGACAACAAAACGUAAGAAAAGAGUACAAAAAUAUUAAGAUAGAUGAAAGACUGUUGUUAGCUAGUUACAAUGUGCCAUUACAAUGCCAGUAGAUCCUUAAUAAGUCAAACUCUCUGUGACAGGAAGUUUUAUUAACCAGUGAUGUGUUCAAAUUCCUUAAAUAAAUUAAAAUAAUAGGGGUAACAUUGUACAGUUUCGUAGCUGUGAUAGUAGCUUAGCAGCAGGCUUGUAUUUCCAUGCUGCAAACAUGUUUUUAUAUGAAAAGGAAUUUUUCCCAGUAAUAGAAAUGCAACACUUUAAACUAACAUACAAAAUGUUUGAUAGAAGAACAUAAAAAAAAAGUUCCUGAUACAUUCUGAAUUUUCAGAUGUGAAUUAGAUGGUCUCUGCAUUUUUUAACCACAAAGAGGGUGCAGGGUAAUGAAAUGAACUUCAGAUGUCUUCCGAACAGGAUGUUCUGCUCUGUGAUCAAAAGAUCCCACAGAAGCCAAGAUUUGGAACAGGACUUUUCCUGCUAUGAUUCAGUCGCAAGUCAAGAUACACAAUAAUUAUCCACUUGCUAACAUCCUGGGGGGGCAGAGUCAUGUGGAAAGCAGCAUGGACGAUCAGUAGGGGUAGGGUGAGAUGGAAAUGUAGAUGAUAAAGAUGCUCUGGUAGGUAAUGCGGCCUUGCAGCGAUAUAGUGGUGGCCUGCACUUUGAGCCUCACUAGUCCAGGUCUGUCCAGAACCUGCAGGGUGUAGAUGAUCCCUCUGCCGGCCUCAUCUCUGAUACCGAACACCUGCCCCAGCCCGCCUGCCUCCGGUUCUUGCUCAAGUAUUGUAAAGGAUGUGCGCUCCUGCAGGAUGCCAGACUCUGAGAAAGCUGACAGUCGUACCACGUUGUGAUUGGCUGGAAUGCCGGAGGGAAGAGUGAGCAGCUUGUACUGCAGGAGCAGAGGAGAGCCUCCGAUGGCGCAAUCCAGCAAGCAAGGCCUGUAACAGGUCCUUUAAAAGUCGUCCGGAAAAAAAAAAAAUUAUUAAUUCAUAUAAUGAACAUAAUUUUGCAUUUGUGUGGUAUCUACAACUUAAUUAAUAACCCUGUAUAACACUUAUUAAUGUUGCAAAUUACCCGGGUCUUCUUCCACUCUGGUAGGAUGCAGGGCAGGGUGUAUCCAGACACUGGUAUCCUCCUCGGGUGUUAAAACACAUCUGGUUGCGUCCACACUGGAUGCCUUGUUCUACACACUCAUCAAUGUCUAAGAGAAAGAGAGGGGAUAAGUAUAUAGCUGUAAUAAUUUGAGGGGAAGGUGGAAGUUUUAAAACAGUUUAAGGAGACAUUUACCUUUACAGCUUCGGCCGUUGGGUAGCAGCUGGUAUCCAGGGGGACACAGGCACUGGAAACUACCAAUCGUAUUUCGGCAUUCAUGUUGGCACGGUUUCUUGAGGAGGCACUCGUCCACAUCUGACAGCUCUGCCUGGUGAUGCGAGAUACUCCAUGGGAACGGGAGAGGAUUGGCCUGCCGAGGGAUGACACCAGCUGUGGGACGAGUCUCGCCCUGACUCUGGUUCCGUUUGUGAAGGUGUGCCCUCUCUCAAGCCCUGCGCAGGAGCGCCCAUCGCCGAGUAGCACUGUCCCAGGGGGGCACAGACACC
ensembl:lncRNA